rnacentral:rRNA from 1 species
GAUGAACGCUGGCGGCGUGCCUAAUACAUGCAAGUCGAGCGAACAGGCGAGGAGCUUGCUCCUCUGACGUUAGCGGCGGACGGGUGAGUAACACGUGGAUAACCUACCUAUAAGACUGGGAUAACUUCGGGAAACCGGAGCUAAUACCGGAUAAUAUAUUGAACCGCAUGGUUCAAUAGUGAAAGACGGUUUUGCUGUCACUUAUAGAUGGAUCCGCGCCGCAUUAGCUAGUUGGUAAGGUAACGGCUUACCAAGGCGACGAUGCGUAGCCGACCUGAGAGGGUGAUCGGCCACACUGGAACUGAGACACGGUCCAGACUCCUACGGGAGGCAGCAGUGGGGAAUCUUCCGCAAUGGGCGAAAGCCUGACGGAGCAACGCCGCGUGAGUGAUGAAGGUCUUCGGAUCGUAAAACUCUGUUAUUAGGGAAGAACAAAUGUGUAAGUAACUAUGCACGUCUUGACGGUACCUAAUCAGAAAGCCACGGCUAACUACGUG